AGGACGAACGCUGGCGGCGUGCUUAACACAUGCAAGUCGAGCGGAAAGGCCCUUCGGGGUACUCGAGCGGCGAACGGGUGAGUAACACGUGAGCAACCUGCCCUUGGCUCUGGGAUAGCCUCCGGAAAACGGGGAUUAAUACCGGACAUUCACUUUCUCCUGCAUGGGGGUUGGUGGAAAGUUUUUCGGCCAGGGAGGGCUCGCGGCCUAUCAGCUUGUUGGCGGGGUAACGGCCCACCAAGGCGACGACGGGUAGCCGGCCUGAGAGGGCGAUCGGCCACACUGGGACUGAGACACGGCCCAGACUCCUACGGGAGGCAGCAGUGGGGAAUAUUGCACAAUGGGCGCAAGCCUGAUGCAGCGACGCCGCGUGGGGGAUGAAGGCCUUCGGGUUGUAAACCCCGUUUCACCAGGAGCGAAUUCAGACGGUACCUGGGAAGAGCGCCGGCUAACUACGUGCCAGCAGCCGC
rnacentral:rRNA from 1 species